CCUACUGGAGGCAGCAGUGAGGAAUAUUGGUCAAUGGGCGCGAGCCUGAACCAGCCAAGUCGCGUGAGGGAUGACGGUCCUACGGAUUGUAAACCUCUUUUGCCGGGGAGCAAGCGUGCGUUCGUGAACGCGCGUCGAGAGUACCCGGAGAAAAAGCAUCGGCUAACUCCGUGCCAGCAGCAGCGGUAAUACGGAGUAUGCGAGCGUUAUCCGGCUUUAUUGGGUUAAAGGGGUGCGUAGGGGGGAGGCCAAGUAAGCGGUAAAAAUGCGGUGCUCAACGCCGUCGAGCCGUUGAAACUGGCGUUCUGGAGUGGGCGAGAGGUAAGCGGAAUGCGUGGUGUAGCGGUGAAAUGCAUAGAUAUCACGCAGAACUCCGAUGGCGAAGGCAGCAUACCGGCGCCCUACUGACGCUGAGGCACGAAAGCGUGGGUAUCGAACAGGAUUAGAUACCCUUGUAGUC
rnacentral:rRNA from 1 species